AGGACGAACGCUGGCGGCGUGCUUAACACAUGCAAGUCGAGCGGUGAUCCUCCUUCGGGAGGUGAGCAGCGGCGAACGGGUGAGUAACACGUGGGCAACCUGCCCCUCACACUGGGAUAACCUCGGGAAACCGGGGCUAAUACCGGAUAUGACCUCGAGCGGCAUCUCUUGAGGUGGAAAGCUCCGACGGUGAGGGAUGGGCCCGCGGCCUAUCAGCUUGUUGGUGGGGUAAUGGCCUACCAAGGCGACGACGGGUAGCCGGCCUGAGAGGGCGACCGGCCACACUGGGACUGAGACACGGCCCAGACUCCUACGGGAGGCAGCAGUGGGGGAAUAUUGCGCAAUGGGCGAAAGCCUGACGCAGCGACGCCGCGUGAGGGAUGAAGGCCUUCGGGUUGUAAACCUCUUUCAGCAGGGACGAAGCGAAAGUGACGGUACCUGCAGAAGAAGCACCGGCUAACUACGCGCCAGCAGCCGCGGU
rnacentral:rRNA from 1 species